CCCAGACGGCUUUCCGACUGCGACUGAGCGGUUUCAGAGGUGCCCACUGCGGCGUGCCGCUGUUUUUCAUCUUUCCGCCACGACCCCUCCGUGAGGUCCUCGCUAAGAAGAGCGCUCCGCCGGCACCGCUGUGCCCUCAGCCCGGCCCUUCUCUGCCCCUCUCCCCGCACACGAUGGGCGCAGUCCCGCACCUCCACGGUGCUAAGAAAAAAGAUGGCGGAGCCCUUCCCCGCCCCGAGAGGCGACGGCGCGCGAGGGAGACGAAGAACGGCAGUCUCAGAGAGGACACGAGCUUCCUGCCUUCAGAUCCUUCUCUACGGACCGUUUGCUGACGGACUUCCCUGGGCCUGCUACCUGAGACCUGCUGCUUCCUCCCUGACCUGCAUCCUCUGGUUGCCCAAGACCCCCCUCGCUGCUCCUGCCCUUCGGCCUCGGACCGUCGGAACAUCGUGCAACGGACUGCUGCCGGAUCCUGGUGGUGCCUAUCCCCGCUUUACGCAAUUCUUGCCUCUUUCUAUCUUUUCUAUCGCUCGCCUUCCCUUCCCCAUCACCCCAAUCCUUAAUAGUGUCCGUCCUCCCCUUUCCCCAUCUCCCUUAUUAACGUUUGUAAUAAACCGGUCGGACCAACAUUUGAACCGUUGUUUCUUAAUCUCACGCCGGGCAUACAUAUUUCAAAGAACCUCCUCUCCCUCCUAUAAAUUGGAGCGAGACAUUUUUUUAUGGCGUAGUCGGCAGGAUGCCCGCCGUGAGAGUGUUGUCCUUCCAGAUAAUAGUCUGAAACUUUCUGUGUGUACCUCCUGGAGUUGCAAGAAGCGAUACUUUUUGAUAACUUAGACGUGAGCACCUCUCCAGGAAGAUCGCUUCAUACUCUGAAACUUUACUAUUUAUGUGUGUACCUCUCGAGGACGUAUGAAUUUUGUCUUUAAUACGUGUGUGCCUCCUCGGGAAGAUCUCUCUGCAUUUUGUGGUUUAAGGAACCCCUCUACGUGUGCGCCUCUUGGGGAACUAAGACACGCGUUUUUUGACUUAAAAAACGUGUGUGCCUCUCCAAGAAGUUUACUCACUUUGCUGAAAAUUGUUUAUGUAUGCACCUCUCGAGGACGUAUGAAUCUUGUCUAAUUGCAUUUAAUACGUGUGUGCCUCCUCGGGAAGACCUCUCUGCAUUUUGUACUCAAGGAUCUUGCAACUUAAGUGUGAAAUUUGAACCUCUUUCUUGUGCGCCUCUUGGGGAAGUAAGGAAGUGAUACACGUUUUUUGACUUAAAAAACGGGUGCGCCUCUCCAAGAAGUUUAUUCACUUUGUUGAAACCUAGAAAGUGUUGUGUUAGCUUAAAAUUAACUGCGGAUUUUGAAACCGAAGUGUGCCUUGCUUUGGUGUGGUGUUUGCAGUUUUUUGUGUGGCUUCGCAGGGAAGUUAGGAGCGAUUUUAAGUUGGUUUAGUCUCUUUGUCCUUGUGCUUUCCUCAACAAAGGGAGGCGCGAUCAGAACAUUUACAUUUCUUUAGGUGUGGUGUGCCUCCGUGGGAGAGGCAAUAAGGAGUUAUUUGUACUUUUGAAUAGGAGUACCUCCUCCUCUCAGUGUAUAUCUUUCUGCGUAUUUAGAAAUGAGCAACAGUAUGGCCAGUAUGAAAAGUGAAGAUGUAUUAUUUGAUCUUUUAGAAAAGCAUGGUGCUCGGCCUUCUGUAUCAGGGGUGGAUUGGGCACGACAGAACUGGUAUAAUUUGCAAAGUGUUUCAGACCGUAUUCGUGUUUUACAAAAUGAGGCUCGUACUCGGGCCGGAAAAGGGAAAUCUUUUAUUUGUGCAGUACUCGGUGCUGCUUUAAAAGCAGCUGUGGAGUUCCGAGAGGAAAAGAACUCUACGGAAACCCAGACUAUUCAAGCAUUACAGGAAUCGGUUAAAGUGACGCAAGAAUUGGUAAAAUCUCUGCAAAGCCAAAUAACGAGUCUUGAGGAUCAAUUAGAAAGAGAAAAACAUAAUUCGGUUUUGUUGCAAACAGCUUUUAAGGAGCUGAUAACAUGUAAGGACACCGGUGACACUGUUAUCCACAGUGCACCUCAAGAAAAAGUUUAUCCUCAAGGGAAAUUACAAGAGGUGAAGGAAAGGCUAGAUAAAUUAGAGGCCUCUCCAGCCCACAUUCGUCCUUUGAUAAAAACUGAAUAUACUUUCGAUAACAGUGAGGAUCUAGAUCCUCAAAUGAAUGUUAAGGAAAUUCCCUUUUCGGCCACUGAACUGGCCAAACUGAAAAAGGAUUUCAGCCGCUCCCCAAAGGAGUCUGAAACAGAAUACGUCUGGAGGGUUAGUCUCACUGGCGGAGACCAGAUCCUACUAACAGAGAAAGAAGCUGAAGGUUAUUGGGGACCAGGAGUAUUUUUAACUACUGGCAAUAAUCGUGCUCCCUGAUCCUUAACACAGAGGGCUGCCUAUUGGGCAGGGGGUCUCAACCCUUUGGAAAGGGGGGACCCUCUUGCUAUUACCGGAACAAUCGACCAGUUAGUGGAGAAUGUUCAGAAAGCUGCUUGUCUCCAAAUGAUGUAUGAUAGAAAGUUGCAGCCACAUCAUGAAUCACCCAUGAUGUUACCUGCUAAUCCGGAGAGACUGACACCUCUAAUUAGGGGACUUCCAGAGUCAUUAAAACCUAUAGGUAUACAACUCCAAGGAAAGAUAGAAGCCAUGUCUCAGGGAGAGAGAACCUGGGCAGCGUUGGAGGGAUCUGUAACCCCUAACCACCAGUCAGGACCCAAAGUGUGGACUUAGGGAGAGGUUGCCCAAGAAUUAAUUAACUAUGGAAGAAAAUAUGGGCCGGUGGUUUCUACCUCCAGUAAAUUUGAGCCAAGAGGAGUAAGGCUUGCAGUAGCCAGCCUUGCCUCCAGGCCACCUAGCCCAAAACUUAUUGGAACCAAAAAGGUUUCAUCCCCAGUAAAAACGGGGACACGAUGCAUUGAUCAUAAACGCAAUGGACUUUGGACUCUGGGCUGGAGAAAGGGUAUUCCACGAGAUUUGAUGAAUGGAUUACCCACAGUCAGAUUAGAGAAAUUAGUUAACUGCUGGCCAGAACAAAAGCUCAAGGAGAGCUGAUGCCUUCGCCCCCCCCUCCCAGGUGAGCGGGAGGUGGGUGGGGGGGUGAAGGGUGGAUGUUUAUUAGGAAGCUCACUACUAAAGGAAACGAUUUGUUAAUUACUUGUUUAUUUAUUAUUAGUGGUUAUUGUCAAAUGUACGGUUGUCUCUUUUCUCUCUUCUAUUCAUUAUGUAAUAUUCAUGUUACCACUCCUGAAGAAUCACGGGGUGGUGUCUGUGGCAAGUUGCAUUGUGUACUGUUGCAACUCUUAUGUUUGUACCUUGUAUGAUUCCAUGUUUUAUACAAGAUGUUGUAUCCCCUAUUUACUUUGUAACCAAGCCUGAAAAAUGUUUGUAAUGAUUGUAUGAAACAUUUGAUUCCCCAACACGUCCCUCCUUUACCCUUGUGCUUGCUAUCUUCUCUCACCACCAUGGAUGCCCAGUGUCCCAUUUUUAAGCAAUCUUUGAGUCACGGGGUGGUGUAAGAGACUAUUCUUUUAUAUCAUUGACUCAAAGUUUGCUGAGGAACAAGUCCAGGCAAGUCCUGGGCAAAGGCAGAGAAAUCUUUUGUCUUGAGGACACUGAUGGACGGGUCCUGGCUAAGGAUUGUGAAAUCCUUUAAGGAGCACAGAUGGACACGGCCAGGGGCAGCGAGAGAGAGAUAAGCUGCCGCUAAUGGCCGGUAAGCGGUCUUUUUGUGGGGACUUGUCUCAAGGAAAAUGGCCAUCUCAGGAGGUAUGCACAGGACUCUUGCUCAAGCCCCCAGGAAUGUCACGUAGGCAGCAGAAAAUGGAGGAUAAAAGAGGGUCCAAUAACCACAGCGGUGAAAGCUGAUCCUUCACCACAACCACGGCAAGGGUAGAGGCUUAUCACUCACUAUGACAGACUUGAGGGGGCUCUCUGCCAUCUGAUCCUUCACCACAACGUGGAGACUGAUCUCUACGUGGAGGCUGAUCUCUCACCGCAACACAGAGGCUGAUCUCUCAUGAUCUCUCACCAGGACACGAGCUUCCUGCCUUCAGAUCCUUCUCUACGGACCGUUUGCUGACGGACUUCCCUGGGCCUGCUACCUGAGACCUGCUGCUUCCUCCCUGACCUGCACCCUCUCGUUGCCCAAGACCCCCCUCGCUGCUCCUGCCCUUCGGCCUCGGACCGUCGGAACGUCGUGCAACGGACUGCUGCCGGAUCCUGGUGGUGCCUAUCCCCGCUUUACGCAAUUCUUGCUUCUUUCUAUCUUUUCCAUCGCUCGCCUUCCCUUCCCCAUCACCCCAAUCCUUAAUAGUGUCCGUCCUCCCCUUUCCCCAUCUCCCUUAUUAACAUUUGUAAUAAACCGGUCGGACCAACAUUUGAACCGUUGUUUCUUAAUCUCACGCCGGGCAUACAUAUUUCAAAGAACCUCCUCUCCCUCCUAUAAAUUGGAGCGAGACAAGGACCCAGAGGUCCCCUUAGAAAGAGGUAAUGGGGGGGGGGGGCUGGAAGAACCCAUGGAGGGUUCCACCCCUCCUGGACUGAAAGCAGUGUGCAAACUGCAGGGAUAUGAGACAUCGGUGGAGAAAUCCAACCGUCUCUGAUUGCAAAAAGCUGAAUGAUGGGAACCUGGGAAGUUAUUCCUGGCAAAUCCACCGGUGAAAUUGCAGCCAGGAGAGCAGGAGAAAGAGGUUUCGUUUCUGGUGGGCAUGGGGGCCUCUCACCACCCGUAGAUGAUUUUGCAGCAGUGGUAGGAGCUACUGCCCAACAAGAAAGAGCUUCCCUUUGGGGAUCAAGUGAAUAUAGGCUGAGAAAAUAAGUCAGAAUACACCAAUUCCUGUACAUGCCGGGUUCUCCAAAACCGUUACUCUGGCAAUGCUUAUUAGCACAAAAUGGAUGCAGAGAUUCAAUUCAAUAAAACCGGAGCUAAGGGUCAAACAAGAUGAACUGAUUGGAAAUUGUAGGUCUGGCUUUAAUACUAAGUGGGAAAAACAACGUUGUACCCCCAGAAGUUACAGAAAUCUUAAAUAAAGUAUGCUUAGCAGUGUGGGUAUCAGGGAUGCCUGGUAGAGCCAAAAUGCAGCCCUAAGUUCAAGGCAAGAUCUGGAGCUAGCCCAGGCAGGGUAAAGCGGUGCCCUCUGAGGAUAUACAACUGGAGAAGGAGAAAAGAAAUAAUAGAUAACUUUUGGAUUUUGGAUGACUAAUUGAAUAUGAAUCCAAAUACAGUACUCCAAUCUUGCCGAUGAAAAAUUGGAUAGCAAGUGCUAUAGUUUAGUACAAGACUGGAGGGAAAGUCAUAGACUUGCUGAAUGUAUACACUCCGUGGUGGCAAAUCCAUCCACUUUAGUAACUCAGUUAGGGAAUGAGUAGGUGGAGUUUCCUUCUGGAUUUGAAGGAUGCCUUUUCUGCCUGGUUUGGGAAGCCUAAGGCUGUUUGCUGUUGAAUAGGAGAACCUCAAUUCGGAACAAUUGAAUAGGAGAGCCUCAAUUCGGAACAAAAAGACUCAGUUCACCUGGACAGUGUUAGCCAGGGCUGUGAGAACAGCCCAAGGAUUUUUGAGAACUGCUCAACUCGUGAGUCUGAGAUUUGGGUUCCUCCACUCCACGGUGGAACUUUACUGCAGAACGUGGAUGCCACAGAAACAAAGAGGGCUGUGUGCAAUGGACUGCGAAUGUGCUGAAUUUCUUUGUUUGAAUGAUGAUCGACUUUCUCAAUAGAAGGCACCAAGAACUCAACAGCAAGGGACCGAUCUGGGAUGGGAGAUUACAGCUGGACUUGGAACCUUAAGGACUGCCAGGAAAGAAGCCAUCUGCCAAACCCCUGAGCCACAAAGUGCCGAGGAACUCCGUACAUUCUCAGGAAUGACAGCAGGGUGCCAACCGUGGACACAUGGCUACGGACUGGUGGUAAAGUCCCUUUAUGGAGUGGGUAAGAGAUGGCCAGAGUGCUUGAGGGCGGUGGCUGCACCAGUGCUCAAUAUUCAAGAACCUGGUAAAUUUACCCUAGGCCAAAGAAUAGCAGUUUGAAUAUCUGAUACAGUGUCUGCUGUAUUGUAUUGGAGGUAAAAGGGGGGCAUUGGCUCUCACCCCCAGAGGUUCCUGAAAUGCCAGGCCAUCCUGGCACAGCGGGAUGAUGCAGAAAUAACUGGAACUAAUAUUGUCAAUCCAGCAUCUCUCCUUAGCAGAACUCCCGGAGAACCAAUAUUUCGUGACUGCUUUGAAACUACUGCGGCUACGGACUGCUGCCAGUCGGAGCUGAAAGACGAACCCUUAGAAGAUGCAGAGGACACCUGGCUUACUGAUGGAAGCAGUUUGGUGAGACAAGGAAACCGUAAGGCAGGGUAUGCAGGAACUGCUACUGACAAAGUCAUCGAAGCACGACCGUUACCUGUGGGGACUUUCCCUCAGAAGGCUGGAAUGGCUGCCUUGACGAGAGACUCAAAUAUACAGACAGAUGCUAAUGAUGUAUUUGGGGUGCUACACGCUCAUAGCACCAUCUGAAAAGAGCAGGGAUGGCUCACACACCAGGAAAAACAGCCUGCAGGAAGGGAACACUGUGCAGGAAACUGGAGUGGCCGCUGUUAAGGAAAGCGAUAACACUCUCAUGAGUGGGAUACGGUGCAGGAUAACACAGCUUCGUGAGGGCCCUUAUCCCAACCUGAGGAGCAGCGCAGCUGGAAAGAGCUACAAACAGGAAAAUCGGUGUUUGUGCACGCGAAGAGCUUCGCUUUCCCCUCCCGGCCGUCCGGUGGAGCGGUCCGCCCGUCGGCAGCAGCUCUCACCGCCAUCCGCCACCCGGGAAGAAAACCCUGCAGCCGCGAUGCGGUGUGUAGAACAAACGAAGGCAACGACAGAGCCUUUCUUUGAGAAAUAGGAACACGAGGAAAAGAUAGCGAAAGGAAUUGAUAUCCUCACACCUCCCGGUAACAGCGCGCACAGAGAGACGGGCUGAGCAAUGCGUCCCCCCCCCGUUUGUACUGUCGCACCACCGGAGAGAGGGGCGGGGGGCAAAGAGAGGGACCCGCACGGACUCAGACUGCACAGGAAGGAUUGCAGAGAUGGAAGGUUUGGCUUCCAGACACUCACACACUCACGUAGCCCACCCGUUGGUUCGGGCUGCGACGGUGGAAUUCCACUCCACGGUGUCAGAACGCGGCGCUCCGUCGUUCCCCACCGGGCGCACCGGGGGACGCGACACGGAGGGCACCGCUCAGAGCUCCGCUCCUCCUUACACAGCUCGGACACGCGUAUGCACUGCACUGCCGCCCACGCUCGUCUUCUCAAGGACUCCCGGCUAUGUGCUGCUGUCCCUCUGGCCGCGCUCAGCGCUAUUUCGGCUGCUCGAGCGCCCCCCGUUCACCAUCGGCUCCAUCACGGAGUGUCCCACUGCCACCCGCUGUUCCCCGGCUCAGAACAUUCCCGGUGCUCAUUAUGGCACAGGGAGCCGCUUUUAAAGCAGUGUCUGCGGAACCCGAGGAAAUGUCCGUGCGCGUUGCGAGGCCAAAGAUUAAAGGGCUCCGUGGGGACUGCAGUGCUCCUCGUGGGGCAAAACCAUUGGGGCGGAAGAUAGAGGUGUUCUGUUAUGUCCUCUGAGCCAAAUUAGUGAGGAAAACUGCACCGUGCGCCCACUCAAGCUGCAGUGGAGGAUUUCAGAACCAUCACUCCUGGAUUGCUUUGGCUAAACUCAUGUAUUGGUUUUGAUACUGACGUACCGAUCCCUACCGUGAGAGUUACAAUCGUGUUUCCUUCUCCAGCAUCGCAUAGCACUGAGGAUACGGUUGCACAAGCAGGUGAGCAGAUAGCGAGAGGCUCCGGGACCAGAGAAAUGGACGGGCAGACACAGUGAAAAGAGAGAGUGGGAGACAGGUGACAGGUUGAUGGGAUUAGGAUGGUGAUACAACGGUAAGCGUGGGCUGACUGCGCACCUGGAGCGCUGAGCUCAGAAGGAAAUGCGCAGACUGUGAACCCAGAAUGCUCGAUUGAUGAGGAACUGGGAGGAAUUCUCCGUGCCGGGGUCAGGGGCUGUACGGCUGCGCUGUGCUGCUGGUGGGAGGCUCCUGCUUGCAGGACACCGUUGCUGCAGCUGUGAAUCAAAAGCUUUUCACAAGAGAUCUGCUCUCUGGAGAAUCGCGCGACGUAUUUCUCACCGCACCAGAGAGGCCUUAUCCACUGGAUUUGCUUAAUUACAGAACGCAUCCCACGUUCACGGACACCUUGUGCAGUGGUGCCCAUUGCCCAUCCCAGCCCUCAAUCCACAGCCCAUCCAUAGGUCGCACCUCUUCCUCACGAGCUGUCAGCGCACCGGGCUGCAAACACCCACCCUGACACUGCCGGUCGGGAUCCACCCUGGUGCUUCCAUCCUGGGGCCCCAUCCACCGCCGGGUGUUCCGCUGCCCUGCAGAGGUUCCUGGCUGUGGGAGCAUCUCCACGAGGUUCCUUCACAGCCACGUGCUGCACCCGAGCUGCAAUACCUUCCCACAGUGCCCCAGGCCUGUGCUGGCGGCUGUUCUGCUUCUGUGACCACCCCGGGGAUGUGCUGCCAUUCAGCACUCGGUGCAGAGGCGGCUCAGGACCCCGAGCUCUGAGAGAGCGAACUUGAGGCUGUGUAAGGAAUUGUUAGGUGAGAGCUCCUGGGAAGCUGUCCUUAGAGACAACGGAGCGCAGCGAGGCUGGCUGCUCUCCUAGGACACCCUACUGGGAGCACUGGAGCUCUCCAUGCCCCGGCAUAAGAAAGCGUGCAGGGGUGGCGAGAAACUGGCAUGGCUUGGAAAGGAGCUGCUGGGCAGCCUGAGGGGAAAAAAAGGGAUUGUACCAGACGUGGAAACAAGCAUGAGUCACCGGGGGAGAUUACAGGGAUGCUGUCCAGACUUGCAGGCGGGCUGAACUUGGUGAGGGAUGUUAAAAACAGUUUGAAGGCGUUCUACAGGUACGUUGGCCAGAAGAGACAGGCCAAAUAGAGCGUACCUCUUCUGGGAAACGGGAAGGGAGAACCGCCUACGAGAGAUGUGGAGAAGGCUGAGGUACUCCACGAGUUUUUUUCCUUGGUCUUCACUGGAAGCUGCUGAAGGACGCUUGUAUUUCUCACGUCCCUGAAGCUCACAUCUGUGAGCCUCCAGCUGGGGAGUGGGGGAGGAAAUCCCCCCCCACCGUAAGGGCAGAGCAAGUCCAAGAACACCUCAUGGGACUGAACGCGUACAAGUCUAUGGGGCUGGACGGCAGGCAUCCCGGGGCUCUGAAGGAGCCGGCUUGCCGGGUGUUGCUUUCCAUCAUAUUUGAAACGGCGUGGCUGUCACCGAGGUCCCGGAUAACUGGAAAAAGAGGUCCCGUCACUCCCAUUUAUAAGAAAGGGAGCAAGAGGAUCCGGGGAACUACAGGCUGGAGAAUCCCACCUCUGUGCCUGGGAAGAUGAUGGAACACAUCCUCCUGGAGGACAUCGCUGAUCACGUGAGGAAUGAACGUGUGAUCCCAGACAACCCAACGUGUGAUCCCACCCAGUAGCGGCCUACUAUGAUGGGCUGAUGGCAUUGGUGGACAAAGGGAAGCUGAGCGAUGUCAUUUACCUGGACUUGAGCGAGGCCUCUGACGUGGUCCCCCACCACAUCCUUAUCUCCAAAUUGGAGGGAUGCGGAUUUCAGCAGGUAAAUGGAGAAAUAAAUUAAUUACAAACAUUAUUAAUACUGAUGGGUCAAAUAAUAACAGCACCACUGGAGUGAUAAAAAGGAGGGGAAUUGUGGCAGGGACUGUUAAUAAAUGGGAGUAGAAACAGUAAAGGAAA